GGAUGAACGCUGGCGGCGUGCCUAACACAUGCAAGUCGAACGAGAAGCUGACUUCUGAUUCCUUCGGGAUGAUGAGGUUAGCAGAAGUGGCGAACGGGUGAGUAACGCGUGGGUAAUCUACCCUGUUUUAGUGGGGGAUAACCCUCCGAAAGGAGGGCUAAUACCGCAUAAUAUCUUCACUUCCAAAAGAAGAGAAGAUUAAAGAUGGCCUCUAUACUAUGCUAUCGCUUCAGGAUGAGCCUGCGUCCUAUUAGUUAGUUGGUGGGGUAAUGGCCUACCAAGACCACAAUGGGUAGCCGGUCUGAGAGGAUGUACGGCCACACUGGGACUGAGAUACGGCCCAGACUCCUACGGGAGGCAGCAGUGGGGAAUAUUGCGCAAUGGGGGAAACCCUGACGCAGCGACGCCGCGUGGAUGAUGAAGGCCUUUGGGUUGUAAAAUCCUGUUCUGGGGGAAGAAACCUUAAGGGUCCAAUAAACCCUUAAGCUGACGGUACCCCAAGAGAAAGCUCCGGCUAAUUAUGUG
rnacentral:rRNA from 1 species